rnacentral:rRNA from 1 species
GCGCGUAAAUUGCCCGAAUCCUGACACAGGGAGGUAGUGACAAGAAAUAACAAUACAGGGCUAUCUUAGUCUUGUAAUUGGAAUGAGUACAAUUUACAUCUCUUCACGAGGAUCAAUUGGAGGGCAAGUCUGGUGCCAGCAGCCGCGGUAAUUCCAGCUCCAAUAGCGUAUAUUAAAGUUGUUGCAGUUAAAACGCUCGUAGUCGGAUUUCGGGGCGGGCCCGCCGGUCUGCCGAUGGGUAUGCACUGGCGGGCGCGUCCUUCCUCCCGGAGACGGCUGCUACUCUUAACUGAGCGGUGGUCGGAGACGGGAUAUUUACUUUGAAAAAAUCAGAGUGUUUCAAGCAGGCAGUCGCUCUUGCAUGGAUUAGCAUGGGAUAAUGAAAUAGGACUCUGGUGCUAUUUUGUUGGUUUCGAGCACCGGAGUAAUGAUUAACAGGGACAGUCAGGGGCACUCGUAUUCC